rnacentral:rRNA from 1 species
AACGAACGCUGGCGGCGUGGAUAAGACAUGCAAGUCGAACGCUCAUUCCGGGGUAGCAAUAUCACGGGGUGGGAGUGGCGCAAGGGUGCGUAACACGUGGGUUAUUUGCCGCAAAGCCGGGAACAACUCGUUGAAAGACGAGCUAAUACCCGAUGUGCUCCGAAAGGAGGAAAGCAGGGGACCGAAAGGCCUUGCACUUUGCGAUAAGCCCGCGGCCUAUCAGCUAGUUGGCGGGGUAAAAGCCCACCAAGGCUAAGACGGGUAGCUGGUCUGAGAGGACGACCAGCCACACUGGAACUGAGACACGGUCCAGACACCUACGGGUGGCAGCAGUCGAGAAUUUUUCACAAUGGGCGAAAGCCUGAUGGAGCGACGCCGCGUGGGGGAUGAAGGGCUUCGGCUCGUAAACCCCUGUCAUUUGCGAACAAGGGCGCCAACCUAACACGUUGUCGCUUGAUAGUAGCAGAAGAGGAAGGGACGGCUAAACUCUGUGCCAGCAGCCG